UGCCUCCUUGGCCAAGUGGUAAGGCGUCGCACUUGUAAUGCGAAGAGCGCUCGUUCGAUUCGGGCAGGUGGCA
rnacentral:tRNA from 1 species